rnacentral:rRNA from 1 species
GCAGCUACCAUGCAGUCGAGCGGAACGAGUUAUCAGAACCUUCGGGGAACGAUAACGGCGUCGUAGCGGCGGACGGGUGAGUAAUGCCUAGGAAAUUGCCCUGAUGUGGGGGAUAACCAUUGGAAACGAUGGCUAAUACCGCAUGAUGCCUACGGGCCAAAGAGGGGGACCUUCGGGCCUCUCGCGUCAGGAUAUGCCUAGGUGGGAUUAGCUAGUUGGUGAGGUAAGGGCUCACCAAGGCGACGAUCCCUAGCUGGUCUGAGAGGAUGAUCAGCCACACUGGAACUGAGACACGGUCCAGACUCCUACGGGAGGCAGCAGUGGGGAAUAUUGCACAAUGGGCGCAAGCCUGAUGCAGCCAUGCCGCGUGUGUGAAGAAGGCCUUCGGGUUGUAAAGCACUUUCAGUCGUGAGGAAGGUAGUGUAGUUAAUAGCUGCAUUAUUUGACGUUAGCGACAGAAGAAGCACCGGCUAACUCCGUGCCAGCAGCCGCGGUAAUACGGAGGGUGCGAGCGUUAAUCGGAAUUACUGGGCGUAAAGCGCAUGCAGGUGGUUUGUUAAGUCAGAUGUGAAAGCCCGGGGCUCAACCUCGGAAUAGCAUUUGAAACUGGCAGACUAGAGUACUGUAGAGGGGGGUAGAAUUUCAGGUGUAGCGGUGAAAUGCGUAGAGAUCUGAAGGAAUACCGGUGGCGAAAGGCGGCCCCCUGGACAGAUACUGACACUCAGAUGCGAAAGCGUGGGGAGCAAACAGGAUUAGAUACCCUGGUAGUCCACGCCGUAAACGAUGUCUACUUGGAGGUUGU